rnacentral:rRNA from 1 species
CCUAGCCUUGGAGUGGGGAAUAACAGCUGGAAACAGCUGCUAAUACCGCAUGAAAUAUCUGUGUCGCAUGGCACUGGAUAUCAAAGAUUUAUCGCUCUGAGAUGGACUCGCGUCUGAUUAGCUAGUUGGCGGGGUAACGGCCCACCAAGGCGACGAUCAGUAGCCGGACUGAGAGGUUGGCCGGCCACAUUGGGACUGAGACACGGCCCAGACUCCUACGGGAGGCAGCAG